rnacentral:rRNA from 1 species
AGAGUUUGAUCCUGGCUCAGGACGAACGCUGGCGGCGCGCUUAACACAUGCAAGUCGAGCGAUGAAAUCUUGACAGAACCCUUCGGGGUGAAGAUAAGAUGGAUUAGCGGCGGACGGGUGAGUAACACGUGAGUAACCUGCCUUAGACAUUGGGAUAGCCUCGGGAAACCGGGAUUAAUACCAAAUGAAAUCACAUAUGCACAUGCAUAAAUGAUCAAAGCUCCGGCGGUCUAAGAUGGACUCGCGUCCCAUUAGCUAGUUGGUGAGGUAACGGCCCACCAAGGCGACGAUGGGUAGCCGGCCUGAGAGGGUGAACGGCCACAUUGGAACUGAGAAACGGUCCAAACUCCUACGGGAGGCAGCAGUGGGGAAUAUUGCACAAUGGAGGGAACUCUGAUGCAGCGACGCCGCGUGAACGAAGAAGGCUUUCGAGUCGUAAAGUUCUUUUAUAUGGGAAGAUAAUGACGGUACCAUAAGAAAAAGCCCCGGCUAACUACGUGCCAGCAGCCGCGGUAAUACGUAGGGGGCUAGCGUUGUCCGGAAUCACUGGGCGUAAAGGGUUCGCAGGCGGAAAUGCAAGUCAGGUGUAAAAGGCAGUAGCUUAACUACUGUAAGCAUUUGAAACUGCAUAUCUUGAGAAGAGUAGAGGUAAGUGGAAUUUUUAGUGUAGCGGUGAAAUGCGUAGAUAUUAAAAAGAAUACCGGUGGCGAAGGCGACUUACUGGGCUCAUUCUGACGCUGAGGAACGAAAGCGUGGGUAGCAAACAGGAUUAGAUACCCUGGUAGUCCACGCU